rnacentral:rRNA from 1 species
GACGGGACCGCACAAGCGGUGGUGAUGUGGUUUAAUUCGAUGCAACGCGAAAAACCUUACCCACCUUUGACAUGUACGGAAUCCUUUAGAGAUAGAGGAGUGCUCGAAAGAGAGCCGUAACACAGGUGCUGCAUGGCUGUCGUCAGCUCGUGUCGUGAGAUGUUGGGUUAAGUCCCGCAACGAGCGCAACCCUUGUCAUUAGUUGCUACGAAAGGGCACUCUAAUGAGACUGCCGGUGACAAACCGGAGGAAGGUGGGGAUGACGUCAAGUCCUCAUGGCCCUUAUGGGUAGGGCUUCACACGUCAUACAAUGGUCGGUACAGAGGGUUGCCAACCCGCGAGGGGGAGCUAAUCCCACAAAGCCGAUCGUAGUCCGGAUCGCAGUCUGCAACUCGACUGCGUGAAGUCGGAAUCGCUAGUAAUCGUGGAUCAGCAUGUCACGGUGAAUACGUUCCCGGGUCUU